rnacentral:rRNA from 1 species
AUUGAACGCUGGCGGCAGGCCUAACACAUGCAAGUCGAACGAGUGGCGGACGGGUGAGUAAUGUCUGGGAAACUGCCCGAUGGAUGGGGAUAACUACUGGAAACGGUAGCUAAUACCGCAUACCAUCGGAUGUGCCCAGAUGGGAUUAGCUAGUAGGUGGGGUAACGGCUCACCUAGGCGACGAUCCCUAGCUGGUCUGAGAGGAUGACCAGCCAAACUGGAACGGAGACACGGUCCCGACUCCUACGGGAGGCAGCAGUGGGGAAUAGUGCACGAUGGGCGCAAGCAUGAUGCAGCCAUGCCGCGUGUAUGAAGAAGGCCUUCGGGUUGUAAAGUACUUUCAGCGGGGAGGCGUUACCCGCAGAAGAAGCACCGGCGAACUCCGUGCCAGCAGCCGCGGUAAUUC